AAUCCAAUUUCAAUCGAAGAUCAUCCGGCUGAAACAUUUAGUGGUACCUCAUCUUAGCUUGAACACACUGUACACACCACAAAUAACACGCGGCAUAUAAUACACUAACCUGUGGUGUAGUGUGUACAUAAUAAUAAUAUUUACCAUCGUGACCGUCGUGUUUAUUAUGUGGGUGUGCAUGUGUUGUGUGAUUUUGAGAACGAGAAAACUGAAAAGUUUUGUCGAUCAUAUCUGGUGGUGCGUAUACACCGCGCCGUACAUCUUAUAACAGCCAUGGUACAAAAGUCAACAUGCGGUAUGCAAAUGCGUACAAACUUCCUGCGUGACACGCUUAAUCCAGCGUUGAAUGCACUAUAAUACAGCAACGAUAAUAUUCCAAAAAGCCAGCGGACAUAUUCAAAAGUAUAACCGCAUGUAUUAUAUUAUGCAAAUAAUGAUGAUUCUUUUGUCACGAACAAGACGAACAAUUUCAUAGAAAAUACAAGCAAUUUUUAAAAAUGUCAAAUUCAAACUUCUCUGACGUUUUUAUUCGGAACACGUUUUGCCGGCGUCGAGAGCAAAAGUACCUACGUGGAUAUGCGGUUUCAUGCCCACCAAAAAUAUCAAAUGUGUUUUACGGGUAUAUCCACAGCGUUUUAUUGUUCCAACAAUAAUUGUUGAGAGUAGACAUCUGGAAAGGCUAUAAAAAAUAAACCGCACAAGGUACAAUAACAAAACGAGAAAAAAUAGGGCAACAAAAUGAUUUUCAUAUCAAAAAACUUGCAAUGUCUACAACAACUGUAGUGUGCAUAGUUAAAAUAUUUAUUUUACUACUUUUAUAUUUUGUUUAUGUAUUUACCUGUUCUCUAUUAUACCGAAAUGCAAAUAAUAAUUAAUAAAUAAUAAUAAUUACUAAUUAGGACAUGUCAUCAAUAUCGAAUUAAACGAUUUCGUAUAAUAAAAAUUCAUGAUCGUGAUGAUCAUAGACAAGUCAGUCUGUGUGAAAAUCAUUUGAAAAUUCGUUAGUCAACCUUCUAUAAUUACUCACAUAAAAUAUAUAAAGUUUUACAUUUUAUGAAUAGUCCAGGGAUUGAAAUAUCUAUUUCUCUCUUAAAUUCUAACUGACGAUUUCAUAGUUCCCUGUAGGGUCUACAGU